UACGGGGGGGGCAAGCGUUGUUCGGAAUUACUGGGCGUAAAGGGCGUGUAGGUGGCCAACUAAGUCCGACGUGAAAUCCCCAGGCUUAACCUGGGAACUGCGUCGGAUACUGGAUGGCUUGAAUUCGGGAGAGGGAUGCAGAAUUCCUGGUGUAGCGGUGAAAUGCGCAGAUAUCAGGAGGAACACCGGUGGCGAAGGCGGAUCUCUGGGCAUUACCUGACGCUGAGGAGCGAAAGUGUGGGGAGCGAACAGG
rnacentral:rRNA from 1 species